AUAUCAAUAAGCGGAGGAAAAGAAACUAACAAGGAUUCCCCUAGUAACUGCGAGUGAAGCGGGAAAAGCUCAAAUUUAAAAUCUGGUAGCCUCUGGCUGCCCGAGUUGUAAUCUAGAGAAGCAUUAUCCGCGCUGGACCGUGUAUAAGUCUCCUGGAAUGGAGCGUCACAGAGGGUGAGAAUCCCGUCUUUGACACGGACUUCCAGGGCUUUGUGAUGUGCUCUCAACGAGUCGAGUUGUUUGGGAAUGCAGCUCUAAAUGGGUGGUAAAUUCCAUCUAAAGCUAAAUAUUGGCGAGAGACCGAUAGCGAACAAGUACCGUGAGGGAAAGAUGAAAAGAACUUUGGAAAGAGAGUUAAACAGUAC
rnacentral:rRNA from 1 species